GCAAGAGAGAAAGAGAGGAACAAGAGGAAGCAAGAGAGGGAGGAGGGGGCAAGCAGCCCCUUUUAUAGUGUCAGGCAUACCUAGCUGUUGCCGGGUAACUGUGGGGGUGGAGCUAGACAGAAUGCUAACAAAAGCUGCUAUGGCAAGAUGAAACAACCCAGCCUCUGUUCUCCAGCCGUCUCAACACUCAACGCCUAGUCCACUUACAUCCUAUGGUUUCAUCUCUAUUACGGAUGCUCCGGGGAGCACAUUAGUACUGGAAAGACAAUAAAGGUGUGAGCUCGCGACUCAUCUGCCUUCUUUGCUCUUCCAUCAUGGAUUCCAGUCUUCUGCAACCGUUACCUUUCUCUUUUCCCCAUAUUUUAACGAGACUCCAUCCUGUGGACUGGCUAUAGAGGGUAGAGGGGUCAUGACUGCCGCCCACCACCAGCAGGCAGGCAAUCCUGCAGAACCCUGAGCUCCACUUUUGGUCACCACCUCCCCCUGCUGUCCGUCUGAGAUCCUGCAGCUUGGCAUGAAGAUGAAACAGACUGUGUUUGCUAUUCUGAACUAGAGCCGGGACCGAGCCUUUGUAGUUCACAACUACCUGUCCUAAGCUGGGGACCGAACCCAGGGCCUUGCACUUCCUAGGCAAGCGCUCUACCACUGAGCUAAAUCCCCAACCCCUUGAUUCACCUCUUUUAAGAUAGGAUAGACUUUCCAUGUUUUCUGUAUCCUACUCUGGACGUGUUUCCAAGGGAACAGCACUCUUUUCAAUAGCUGAUGCUUCAUGGUCCUUCGGGGUGGAGAAAAGUGACACUCAGCAUUUACUUCCCAUGUAAAUUAAAGUAACUGGAUAGAGCUCACAGAUCAGUGAUAAACUGAUAAGGUUUCUAGAGAGAGACUAGCACUGCAGACUAAUGUCCCUUAUAACUCAAAGCUCAUGCACCGUGGACAUUCUCAUUUCAUUGUCAGUACCGAGCACAGUGCUGCACAAAUCCUGCCUGUCUUUCUGCUUCUACCUUCUGAAUGGAUCACCACACCCUCGAAGACUCCAUAUGUCUGUGUCAUAACCUGAGGGGUGGGACAGAAGUGGCAGCCACAGUGGCAUUAGGGGCCCUACCCAGUUCUGCAGCACCAUAGACCAAAGGAAGGAGUUUCUGGUGGAAGCUGGUAGACCAUGAGCAAAGGGCCUUCCUGUGCCCACCUACUCCAUGUUGGCCCUUAGAGGACCUGGCUGGCAUAUCAUUCACUGUGUCAGGAUGUUCUUUUGAAGUGUCACCUUCUUUGCCUUUUCAUUGCAGUGACAGAAGAGGAUGAUUUACAGAAGUGAGCGACCUGGUUGGAGGAUACCACCCAUCAUAGCAUGGCAGACCUCUUGGUAGCAGGGGCAUGUGCCUAGGACCUUAGACAUCCAGAAGAUCCAGGAAGCUGCAAGAGAGGGGGACCAGGGGAUCAGAAUGCAGAAGGAGAGAGAGAGAGAGAGAGAGAGAGAGAGAGAGAGAGAGAGAGAGAGAGAUAGAUCAGGAAACCAGCCUUUGGUGACCUAUUUCUUUCAGCAAAUGCCUACCUCCAACAGAUUUUACAACCUCCUCUGACCUCCCCUGCCAACUGGAAACCAUGUCUUCAAAGGAGACUGUGGGUAACACGGUGCCCUCAAGCCACAGCGUUUCCUUAUAGAGAAGCAAGCUUUGUUUUCCCUCUAAUCAAGGCAACAGUUUACUUUUGAAGAAUCACCUCAACAUUCUCAUUUGUUUGCCCAUUGUCAGUCUUGCCUCACACAGGGCGGACUGUCUCUUGCCUCUUUGGAAGAGGCUCUGAAGCAGCCAAGCAUACAAAGUCCUGUCUGGCUCCAUAACAAGGCACCAGCAGGCUGCUCUAAUCCAGCUUCUCUGCAACAGCUGUUGGCUUAAGAGCUGGAGUCUUCUAAUCAGGAAAUGUUUUGAUGGUCUUUGAGGGAGAGUUGACAUUACCGAGUCCAGAGAACCACCCUUGGAAUCGUAUCCUUUCAUUUCUCCUCGCUCCAUUUAUGUUUCACAGUGUGAGUAGAACCGCGGUUGACACUGGGAAGUGAGCGGUUGGUUUUAGAAUAGCUGACACCUUUGGAUUGAUUUCUCCAGUCCUGUGCCUUUUGCAGUAGCUUCCCUCCAGGCUCUGUGGGGGUCACAGGAGUAAAUGUGCUUUGCCAGCAACUGUUUUCCUCUUUAAUGAAAGACUGUUUCCCUGAAUCCUCUGGCCUCUGAUCAUUUCCCCCAUCAUCCUGGCUGCCAGAUGACUAUAUAACUGCCCAGCUAGUAGAGGGAUGUGACCAAGAGCAAGAGACCACCAUAUCCUUGUCCCCGAGGAACCAGCAUGUCCCCUUCAUCCCAUGUCCUGUUGGGUCACCGAGUACACCGAGUUCUUACAGUGGCUCAAACUGUGGCUACCUAGCAGAGGAAGCAGAGGUGGGUCACAUGCAGACUGGGAUCCUCUGUGGUGGUUAUUGGCUCAACAAAGAAGGCCAGAUCUUGUUGUCCCCACUCCUUGUUUCCCUUGCUCGUAAACUGAUCAUGGUCUUAUAGCUGAUGGACACCAUUUAAAGUGUAAUUGACUCCAGCGUAGAAGUCCCCAAAGCACCUGGUACACAGGCUAGACCGUGAGAGUUUAUGAGUCACUAUCUGACAGUAUCUAUACCUAGAAUAGAACAAUCAAAGUCAAACACUCGGAAUAAGCCCCCGAGUGCAAUAAGAGGCUGCAAACCAGUGCUGCCUCAAAACCACAGCAGCAAUCCCAGGCCCAGGUCCCCAACUGCCAUCAGCCAUCCUGAAACCCACAGAGCUGGGAUAGAUGAGACCUCUGCUUUCCAAUAACCAGUAUAAGUGACUACAAGUCACAGACGAUAUAAGAAAGCCCACUGUUUGUUUCUGCAAAACUGGCUGCAGUCCAAACCAAGAAGCAAAAUGGUUGCCAUACCCAUCUGGUAGCAGCAGUGGUUUUCGUAGUCUUAAUUCCAAGUUCCUACUUCUCUUCCCCUUUGCCUAGGUCCAUCAGAGAGUUACAGUCUUCCUGUCCAUCUAGGCCAGCUCCACCUAGAACUUCCCCCAACUUCCUGGGGGUCAAUAUUCCUUCCCUUUCCACGUGUAUGGGUUCAGUCACAGAGCAGAGUGCAAGUUUUCAAAUUUAAGGUAAACCAGACACCUAGGCGGGCAGGCAGCAGCUGCCAAGGAGACGGACCCAGCACCUCUUGAUUAUUUGUGACCUGGUAAACUUAAGUCUGAGGCUCCUCUGAUAUUGAAAAUAGGCCUUGUAUGUUUUACCUCAUACACACAUCUAAGUGUAGCAUAUAUAGUAAGUACUGAACAAAACAGCUGAGGACACAGCUGAGACUAGAGAUGGUUUCAUUCUUACUUGACCCAAAACUUCUGAACAGAUACCACACAGUAUUCCUCCCCAAAGGGCAAUGGCAUCCUCCUGCUUCAGGAAGAACAAUGUGCUAGAUGACAAGGGGUUUGCUUUAUCAGAGACAAUCAGUGUCUCCACAGACACAUUUUUAAAAACUCUCUCUCUCUCUCUCUCUCUCUCUCUCUCUCUCUCUCUCUCUCUCAGUGUGUGUGUGUGUGUGUGUGUGUGUGUGUGUGUGUGUUCCUAUCCCACACGAAGUUUCUGAAGGAAAUCUUGCAAGUGAAGACUCCAUCAACAUCACUAGAAAAGGAAGGGAAUAGGAUUGUCCUCAUAUUUCUAGGAGUUCUAAGAUGACUUCCUUGGGACUGAGUGAAAACUCUCACUCACACCAAGCCCAAUGAAUGAGGAAUUUGGCAAAGUCAAGCAUGAGAAAGCACUUCAGUAGUAAGGAGCAAAAAAGUCUCUAGGGCUGAAGCCCAGCUGAGUACUCCCAUUGCAGCCAUCCAAGAUGGUAGACCAUCUUCCCAGGAAGCUUGCUUUCCCUCUGCAGCUCUUUCUGCAUGGUACGUGUGUGUGCAUGUACAUGUGUGCAGGUAUGUGUAUACAAGUAUGUAUGGGCCAGAGGUCAAAACUAAAAGUUUUCUUAAAACACUGUUUAUCAUAAUUUUUGAGACAGUGUCUUUCUCUGAACCCGAGGUUCAGUGAUUUGGUCACUAAGCCUCAAGGGUCCUUAUUUUCUGCCUCCUCGGUACAUAUACCAUCAUGACCAGCCUUUUUCCCUUUUAAGACAAGGUCUCAAAACUGACUGGGCUCAGACACACUGCAUAGGCCAGGAUUGCCUCUGACUGACAGAGAUCCACUUGCUUUUGCACCCCCGUUUCCCUCAGCAAGGGAUUAAAGGUGUGAGCCACCGCCUGGCCAUGCUUGGCUCUUUAAGAUAAGUUUGGGGAGUUGAACUCAGGUCCUCAUAGUUACAUAUAAGCACAUUACUGAAUGAGCCAUCAGACUAAUUCCUGAAUUUCCCUUUGUUUUUGUCUCUGCUGCAAUGUCAUUGAAGGAGAUCAUAAAUCCCCAUGGUCAGAAGACAAGCCACCUUCAGCCCUUUUUCCUCUUCUUGGUGUCUUAGCAUUGCUGCUUCUCAGUAAGAUUGAAUCAUUUUUCUCAUUAUUAUGUAAAAGGUCAGCACAAGCCCAUCAGCUUUCCCAAGCCAGAAAUGAGCUCUCAGCUCCGGAGAUCACAUGACCUGCCUACACAAUGGGGAGGGGCUGUCGGGGGGCUUUGUGGGUAAGCUGCUUCCUCGGACUAUUUCUCACGUGACUGGUAAUUCACCUCCUGCCUCAUUCUUUUCUCUGUUUGUUCUCCACUUGGAUAUGUGUGUGUGUUGUGCAUAUGCACAGUCAUAUGUGUGAGCACAUGUGAGCAGUAGCACAUAUGUCUCCAUGCGUGUGCUUUAUGUGGAGGCCAGAGAUUGACCAUGAGCACCUAGAUUGACCUUGAGUGUGUAUUGUGCUACAAGUCACAGAAAUAAAACUUCAAACUCC